GGGAAACUGGGGGCCGGAAGCCCGGUUAUAACGAGGGGGGGUAGUGUGGCUGGGAAGAAAUGGGGGUAAAGCGGACGGAGGCGGAGUCGUAAGUGGGGGGUGAAAGCCUGGAGCUCAAAUCCAGAACUGCCUCCGAUACUGAGAGUCUCGAGGCCGGGAGAGGUGAGUGGAACUGCGAGUGUAGAGGUGAAAUUCGUAGAUAUUCGCAAGAACACCAGUGGCGAAGGCGGCUCACUGGCCCGGUACUGACGCUGAGGUGCGAAAGCGUGGGGAGCAAACAGGAUUAGAUACCCGUGUAGC
rnacentral:rRNA from 1 species